rnacentral:lncRNA from 1 species
CCUGUGAUUGUAUUGAUGUUCAGACGCUGUUAUCAGAUGAACAGAACUAUGUGAUAGCACGCCGCGUAAAGACAAGUGUUAUAUUUAUUUGUACAUUUUACUGGGGCAACAUUAAGGGCGAUGAUUGCGCACAGGUGAAGUGAAAAGAAAUUCUUCUUUGAGCAUCAAAAGAAGCUAAAGGAAGAUCGG